AUUCUACUCCCUCCGUUGCACAAUACAUGCCUACUAUUUGUCAAAAUAUAUAUGUAUCUAGACAUGUUUUAGUAUAUAGGUACAUCCAUUUUUGGACAAAUGGAAGUCAAGUAUUUUGGAACGGAGGGAGUACACA
rfam:Triticum aestivum genome assembly, contig: Triticum_aestivum_CS42_TGACv1_scaffold_033084_1BL